GGUGGUAGCGGCCUAGAAGCACUUAAUGUUGUAGAAAAUUCGUGGACCCGGCAUCAUUAUGUACAAUUAUUGACAUUCCUGGCCAACGUUUUUUUUGUUAUUCGGUGCACACUCGUACCUCAUAUUCUAGGUCUAGGAUCGAGCUCGUUCCGUGCUGAGAACUAGUCGUCUGGUGGCGUGUCUAACGGCGAUAUCGGACGUCAAAGCUCGAAACACGGAGUACUUCAGAUUUUGAACGGAUUUCAGCGAAGCCCGCGUCUCACCCACGGCUGCAAUUCCAUUUUUACUAGCAACACGGCACACAAGCGGAUUAAAGACGAUAAACAGAGAUGUUCUUUACGCGGCAUGAAUUUAUAUCUCCUCUACCCACGCAUUACCUUCGGCGCCGUCAUCGUUCUUAACAGCAACAGUGCUGUCGCCACCAGCAGUCAUCAGCUAGGUUGAUUCAUUCGACGAACUUCAAGGGAGGUUCAGCCAGACAUCAAAGGACCUGGCACGGAGCUCGAUGGGGCAUGCGGCUUCCCUACACGGUGUAGUGACAAGUGCCUAUGGGUGCUUUUCUGAGAGCUCAUGUUAUUGUUUUCUGUGUGGCGCAGGUAAUACUGGUAGAGCUAUGCUAAUGAUGCUGAACGCUUUUUAAGCCUAGGUACACG